rnacentral:rRNA from 2 species
UGCCAGAGCGCGAGAGAUAGAUCUUCCACAAUGGACGAAAGUCUGAUGGAGCAACGCCGCGUGAGUGAAGAAGGGUUUCGGCUCGUAAAACUCUGUUGUUAAAGAAGAACAUAUCUGAGAGUAACUGUUCAGGUAUUGACGGUAUUUAACCAGAAAGCCACGGCUAACUACGUGCCAGCAGCCGCGGUAAUACGUAGGUGGCAAGCGUUGUCCGGAUUUAUUGGGCGUAAAGCGAGCGCAGGCGGUUUUUUAAGUCUGAUGUGAAAGCCUUCGGCUCAACCGAAGAAGUGCAUCGGAAACUGGGAAACUUGAGUGCAGAAGAGGACAGUGGAACUCCAUGUGUAGCGGUGAAAUGCGUAGAUAUAUGGAAGAACACCAGUGGCGAAGGCGGCUGUCUGGUCUGUAACUGACGCUGAGGCUCGAAAGUAUGGGUAGCAAACAGGAUUAGAUACCCUGGUAGUCCAUACCGUAAACGAUGAAUGCUAAGUGUUGGAGGGUUUCCGCCCUUCAGUGCUGCAGCUAACGCAUUAAGCAUUCCGCCUGGGGAGUACGGCCGCAAGGCUGAAACUCAAAGGAAUUGACGGGGGCCCGCACAAGCGGUGGAGCAUGUGGUUUAAUUCGAAGCUACGCGAAGAACCUUACCAGGUCUUGACAUACUAUGCAAAUCUAAGAGAUUAGACGUUCCCUUCGGGGACAUGGAUACAGGUGGUGCAUGGUGUCGUCAGCUCCGUACGCG